GUUAUUAUUAUGCAUCAACAUUUUAAUUUCAUUACAAUUAUUUAUUGUCAAUGAUUCUUAAAUUUGUUAGACUAUACAAUUAAGUAGGUUAAUGAACUGAUAAUACAUUCAUACAUAACUUUUUUUCCCAAUCAUUUUUGAACAUGAUAGAAUAGUGCAUUCUAUUAUACAUCCUAUGUGAAUAAUGUUCAUUAAUGUUAAUUUGUGUAUUAAUAAUUAUAAUCUGAAAAUCAGCCUGAAAUUGAAUAUUUAUCCUAUUGUUCAUGUCCAUAUAGCAGCCUAGGACAAUGUGAUCCGAUACCUGACCCUCUGCUGUGGCCAGGACCUGGGCUCAGGAAUCAGACGAAUUCUGAGAAAAAUUGGAACAGUGGAGCUGUGGACAGGCUACUCCUUGAAGGGCAGGAAGGGGAAGAGGGCCUUCAAUGAGCUAUCAAUCUAUGAUGCCGUCACAAGUAAGUAAAUGCACAAGUUUAGAUAGUUAUUUCUUAUAAUUUAGUAGAUAGUAUUAUUGGUCAAGUGAUGGUAAGUCAAAUGUGCAUUUAUUAACAUUUCAUUUUAAUUAAAUGCAGUUACAAACUAAAUGUAAAAUCCUACCACCUGUUAUGAUCGGAGAGAGGGGACAAAGGAAAGGUGAAGGAGAGAGGUCUCAUGGCCAAAACUGCCUCUGAGGGAAGAGAGGGACAGCCUCUGUCUCAGCAUAGGUGGAAAAGUAGUGAUAUGACAUGGAAGGUACCAUUUACAUUUUUUUCACAACAUAGGAGCGUCCCUGAAAGCACACCCCAAGGCUACCUACCAAGAGGUAGAUGACAAAAUAGCAGACACUCUCAAACAUGCACCAGCUCAUUAUAAUUUCUUUACAUUUUUUUUGUUACUUCACUUUAAUCCAGUCGGUCAGUAUAGCUAAAUUAUUGUGCUAGUACCAAAGGAAUGUAGUAGGUAGUCGACAUUAAACCGGCAUUUUUAUCAUUUGUUUACUGAAAAUAAUGACCAAUUUGUGUUAUGACUUCCAGGAGCGGGUCGAGGAAGCGACAGUGGAUGAGGAUGGAGCUGCAGCACCUGAAUUAACUUUUAGCUUUAAGCAGUUUUACAGUUCUUGAUUGGAGUGCAGUGUUCAUGUUUUUACUGACUUGUUUUUUGUGAUCUUAUUGCUGUCAUUUUGGCCUGAUUCACACAAUCUCCUCUGCACAGUUGAUGUUGAGAUGUGUCUUGUACUUGAGCUCUGUGAAGCAUUUAUUUGGGCUGCAAUUUCUGAGGCUGGUAACUCUUUUGAACUUAUCCUCUGCAGAAGAGGUAACUCUGGGUCUUCCAUUCCUGUGGCGGUCCUCAUGAGAGCCAGUUUCAUCAUAGCGCUUGAUGGUUUUUGCAACUGCACUUGAAGAAACUUUCAAAGUUCUUGACAUUUUCCAUAAUGACUGACCUUCAUGUCUUAAAGUAAUGAUGGACUGUCAUUUCUCUUUGCUUAUUUGAGCUGUUCUUGCCAUAAUAUGGACUUGGUAUUUUACCAAAUAGGGCUAUCUUCUGUAUACCCCCCUAUCUUGCAACAACACAACGCAUUAAGAAGGAACUAAAUUCCACAAAUUAACUUAACAAGGUACACCUGUGCCUUGAAAUGCAUUCCAGGUGAAUACCUGAUGAAUCUGGUUCAGAGAAUGCCAAAAGUGUGCAAAGCUGUCAUCAAGCCAAAGGGUGGCUAUUUGAAGAAUCUCAAAUAUAUUCAUUGGCAGACCAAAACAAUCCUGCGAUUGUUUAGACCAAUGUUGAACAGUCCUUACCAUGGGUGCUUCAUGCUUAAGUUUCUGCCUAUAGGUGGGCAGGAGCAGAAUGGAUGCGUG
rnacentral:lncRNA from 1 species